UACAGAGGUCUCAAGCGUUGUUCGGAUUCAUUGGGCGUAAAGGGUGCGUAGGCGGCGCGGUAAGUCGGGUGUGAAAUCUUGGAGCUUAACUCCGAAACUGCAUUCGAUACUGCCGUGCUUGAGGACUGGAGAGGAGACUGGAAUUUACGGUGUAGCGGUGAAAUGCGUAGAUAUCGUAAGGAAGACCAGUGGCGAAGGCGGCUCUCUGGGACGGUACUGACGCUGAGACGCGAAAGCGUGGGGAGCGAGCAGG
rnacentral:rRNA from 1 species